AUUGAACGCUGGCGGCAGGCCUAACACAUGCAAGUCGAGCGGAGCGGCGGACGGGUGAGUAAUGCCUAGGAACCUGCCUGGUAGUGGGGGAUAACGUCCGGAAACGGGCGCUAAUACCGCAUACUAUCAGAUGAGCCGAGGUGGGAUUAGCUAGUUGGUGGGGUAAAGGCCUACCAAGGCGACGAUCCGUAACUGGUCUGAGAGGAUGAUCAGGCACACUGGGACUGAGACACGGGCCAGACUCCUACGGGAGGCAGCAGUGGGGAAUAUUGGACAAUGGGCGAAAGUCUGAUCCAGCCAUGCCGCGUGUGUGAAGAAGGUCUUCGGAUUGUAAAGCACUUUAAGUUGGGAGGCGUUACCAACAGAAUAAGCACCGGCUAACUUCGUGCCAGCAGCCGCGGUAAUUC
rnacentral:rRNA from 1 species